rnacentral:rRNA from 1 species
UACAGAGGUCCCAAGCGUUGUUCGGAUUCACUGGGCGUAAAGGGUGCGUAGGUGGCUUGGUAAGUUUGAUGUGAAAUCUCCGGGCUUAACCCGGAAAUGGCAUUGAAUACUAUUGAGCUGGGUAGGUUGAGGGGGGACUGGAAUUCUCGUGUAGCAGUGAAAUGCGUAGAUAUCGAGAGGAACACCAGUGGCGAAGGCGAGUCCCUGGACAACACCUGACACUGAGGCACGAAAGCUAGGGGAGCAAACAGG